CCUACGGGAGGCAGCAGUGAGGAAUAUUGGUCAAUGGACGAGAGUCUGAACCAGCCAAGUCGCGUGAAUGAUGACUGCCCUAUGGGUUGUAAACUUCUUUUAUAUGGGAAUAAAACGUUCCACGUGUGGGAUUUUGUAUGUACCAUAUGAAUAAGGAUCGGCUAACUCCGUGCCAGCAGCCGCGGUAAUACGGAGGUUCCGAGCGUUAUCCGGAUUUAUUGGGGUUAAAGGGGGCGUAGGUGGAUUGUUAAGUCAGUUGUGAAAGUUGGCGGCUCAACCGUAAAACUGCAGUUGAAACUGGCAGGCUGGAGUACAGUAGAGGUGGGCGGAAUUCGUGGUGUAGCGGUGAAAUGCUUAGAUAUCACGAAGAACUCCGAUUGCGAAGGCAGUUCACUGGACUGCAACUGACACUGAGGCUCGAAAGUGUGGGUAUCAAACAGGAUUAGAUACCCCAGUAGUC
rnacentral:rRNA from 1 species